CCCUAAAUCAGAUUAUCCCAUUUCGUAAUCUAGCUAAUUCUGAAAUCUCCUCUUUCUCGUGCUCUCGUAACUGCUGCCGCCGGAGUAUUCUAUCACGCCGCACGGUCGCUGGUUAUUGUCGCUCACGCUGCGGCGGAUCGCUCGCCUGCCCUAACUUACCCGCCUCUCUCUAUCGACAUCAGUCUAUUGAAGCUAGUCGCAAGCAAUUGUUGUUUUCCCUCAAUAUAUAUCUGCCAUCGUUUCCCUCAUCCCCCUCUCCGUUGACGUCGCCAUCGUUGCCCCCAUCGUGCCCUUCCACCGCCGCCGUCGGUUUUUGAAGGAUAUGUGGUGAAGACAAAGAAGACAAUAUUAUUGGACAUAUUGAUAGAUGCAUCACAUUUUGAAGGAACGAAUGAGCAACAAGUGUUAACUCAUUUGAAUGUUAGGAUUGAACUUAUUUGGUAGUGGAUCCACAAAUGUUUACUGAUUUUAGUUACAGUUAUUGUUAGAAUUUAACUUAUUUUGUAAUGGAUAUGGUAGAUUUGAUUUGGUCGAAUCUUUAAGUUGUAAUGAAUAUUGAAAUUUUAUAACGAUUAUAUUAUAAAUAUAAAUGAUUUUCUCA